rnacentral:rRNA from 1 species
AACGAACGCUGGCGGCAGGCUUAACACAUGCAAGUCGAACGCCCCGCAAGGGGAGUGGCAGACGGGUGAGUAACGCGUGGGAACGUACCUUUCAGUUCGGAAUAACUCAGGGAAACUUGUGCUAAUACCGGAUACGCCCGUAAGGGGAAAGAUUUAUCGCUGAAAGAUCGGCCCGCGUUGGAUUAGCUAGUUGGUGAGGUAAUGGCCUACCAAGGCGACGAUCCAUAGCUGGUCUGAGAGGAUGAUCAGCCACACUGGGACUGAGACACGGCCCAGACUCCUACGGGAGGCAGCAGUGGGGAAUAUUGGACAAUGGGCGAAAGCCUGAUCCAGCCAUGCCGCGUGAGUGAUGAAGGCCCUAGGGUUGUAAAGCUCUUUCACCGAUGAAGAUAAUGACGGUAGUCGGAGAAGAAGCCCCGGCUAACUUCGUGCCAGCAGCCGCAGUAA